GAGAAACCCACAUGUCCCCAUUCCUUUGCCUUUUGAUUAUUUUAUUUUUUGAUUUUGCUCGGCUUUUAGUCUUCCACGCCGAGUCUCCUAUAGUAGGUGGCACAGAACAUGAUUUGUGGCACAUAACACAAUAAAAUAUUAUAAAAACAUUUGAAUGCAGAGUCUCUGCAGAGUGUGGGCACAAAGAAAGAUAAAAUAAUAUAAAAAAAACUGACAACAAAUAUUUAAAAUAAUAAGUUAAUCCAGGUUUGUGGCACAUAACACAAUAAAAAAUUAAAAAAAAAUUUUGAACGCAUGGAAACCAAAUAUUAAAAAUUGUGAGAAGCCCCGCUGUCUUCCACCUUGCCCUUGGUUAUUUUAUUUUUUGGUUUUGCUCUGCUUUUUGUCUUCCACGUGUUGAUCAUCAAGGGAUUUUCUGUUGAGAAGGCUUCUCCCUUUAUCUUUCAUUUUUAUCUCUUUCUAUCCUCAAUUUUUCCUUUGCUUUUUCUGCUUCUUUCUUUCACGUUUUAGCAAACGGUGUUGUGUUGCCAUUGUCACGCUAGUUCUACUUUAGGUAUGUCGUUCUUCUUUUUUUUCUUUUUUUUUUUCUACUUAUUUUUGCUUAUUUUCUGUUCUUGGGUAAAUUUGGUGUUUAAUUUAGAGCACAGGAAAUAGGAAAUAAUUAUUAAACGGCGCUUUUGGCAAUCGUUUGCUUUCUUCGUUGUCUUUGUUUGCUUCUCCCGCUCUUGCCAGUCCUUUUCUUUUGUUUUUGAAUCGUUCUCAACACCUGAACCAAGUGAUCAAUCUUAUAAACGAAAAAGAGAAUCUGUGAGAAGAGCGUUUUUCAUUCCUGGUGAACAAAGUGAAUCUGAAGAAAUUUCUGGAGUUGAUCCAAGAGAUUGUAUGAGGUUCCGAGCAAGUUAUUAAAAAAAAAAACACCUCCUACUCAGGCAAAGCCACACAGCAGCAUUGGAAACAAUGAUUAGGUUGCUUUAUCAAUGACAACAAGGGCUGAAGACACCUUUCACUACUCUGAUCAAGAAUGUUUACCGUGUUUUGUUUAUCUAUAUUAAAUCAUGUUUAAAAACCUCUACAUAUCUUUUUUUGCCCAAAACUCAACAAUAUUUUUUUGCAUCCCCAUACAACAACAUCUCCUCAUUUUUUGUAUGCAAAAGCUGGAACACAGUAUAUUAGAUGGGGUUAUUAGAAGAAAUUCAGUUAUUAUAAUGUUUUUUGUAUCUUUAUGCCAGGAAUUUCUAUUUUUUGUAACUGAAUGUAAUCCUCCUGGUUCAGAAA